rnacentral:rRNA from 1 species
GACGAACGCUGGCGGCGUGCCUAAUACAUGCAAGUAGAACGCACAGUUUAUACCGUAGCUUGCUACACCAUAGACUGUGAGUUGCGAACGGGUGAGUAACGCGUAGGUAACCUGCCUGGUAGCGGGGGAUAACUAUUGGAAACGAUAGCUAAUACCGCAUAAUAUUGAUUAUUGCAUGAUAAUUGAUUGAAAGAUGCUAUUGCAUCCCUACCAGAUGGACCUGCGUUGUACUAGCUAGUAGGUGAGGUAACGGCUCACCUAGGCGACGAUACAUAGCCGACCUGAGAGGGUGAUCGGCCACACUGGGACUGAGACACGGCCCAGACUCCUACGGGAGGCAGCAGUAGGGAAUCUUCGGCAAUGGACGAAAGUCUGACCGAGCAACGCCGCGUGAGUGAAGAAGGUUUUCGGAUCGUAAAGCUCUGUUGUAAGAGAAGAACGGGUGUGAGAGUGGAAAGUUCACACUGUGACGGUAUCUUACCAGAAAGGGACGGCUAACUACGUG